AUGAACGGGUAAUGGGCCCCCAAGUUUCUCAUAGAACUUGAAUUGCAGUCAGAACUCAGAUCUCAGGAUUUUGAGGCCCACAGAGGAGUAUGGGUCCUUCUUAGCAAAUGCCCCAAGACCUGGGGUUUGCAUAUUUGUGCUUUUCUCAUAUCUUGAAUCAAAUGGAAUUUGGCUUUGUAAACAAUGCUAUGCUGGGCCUGUUUUCUGAGCAGCCAGGACAGGAAGAAGACUUCCUAUCUCAUCCCACGGCUAUAAGAGUACUUUUGGCAUGGUUCAGAAUUUUUGUCCUUGAAACAGAAGGGAGGUUUCUUUGCUAAUGCAAGCAUGCUGAUCUGCCAUUGACUCAAGUGCCCACGUUAACAAAGGAUUAACUUGUGGAUGAAGCCUCCCUGAAUUGGAUGGUCACCAUGACAGUUCUGCAAAGGACCAAUUAAGGUAAAAAACUUCCUCUGCCUGAUGUGAAGGAGGAGUUGGACACCUGAAUGGCAAAGAAUGCAGAAGGUGGGGCCCAGUUCUUCAGGCAAAUAUUAAAGAGUAAUGAAUUUGAAAACAGCACCGUUUCCUUUGUUGUUCUCUGUUGGAAGAUGACCCACUCUCUCUCCUGAGAGUGCUCUUUAAUUGGGCCUCACUUUGAUUUUACUUAUAAUAAAAUUCUCUUGAAUGGC